rnacentral:rRNA from 1 species
GUCUGCGCCACACCACCCUGAGCGCCCAUCGCGUCUGAUCUCGGAAGCUAAGCAGGGUCGGGCCGCUUAGUGCUUGGACGGGGAAAGUCACACAGCGCUGCCGUCUGACCCAGCGAUCCGCCUGCGGUGCAGACC